rnacentral:lncRNA from 1 species
AGAGAUCAUCAACUACAUGUGUAUAUAUAUAUAUAUAUAUAAUUAGGCUGGAAUACUAUUAAUAGUAAAACGCUUUUUUGCUAUCAAAUUUUUAACCAUUGGAUGAAAAAUUAUAGGGUCAGAAUAAUAUUAGUCGGUUAAAGAUGAGUGGUCUCCCUAGGAUUGAGUGGUCCCUACUAGGUUAUAGUAUUUAAUCCAAUGGUUAGAAAUAAUGAAAAGAAUUGAUCCAAUGGCUAAAAAAUUGAUAGCAAGAAUGAAAUUUUGCUACUAAUAGUAGCCCAAUCCAACUCAUAUAUAUAUAUAUAUAUAUAUAUAUAUAUAAUGUGUCCAUUCACCAGGUUCUUUUCUUUAUCCCCCUCAAAAUUUUAAACUUCACAAUACUUUUCCUCUUUUCUUUCUUUAUAUAUUUUUUUAAAAUAAUCUUUGAGGUGUGCUCCACAU